AUCUAGCUGACGAAUCCCAAACAGGACGAAGCGCGCGUUCUGAAU
rnacentral:hammerhead_ribozyme from 1 species